AUUGAACGCUGGCGGCAGGCCUAACACAUGCAAGUCGAACGAGUGGCGGACGGGUGAGUAAUGUCGGGGAAAGUGCCUGAUGGAGGGGGAUAAAUAAUGGAAACGGUAGCUAAUACCGCAUACCCUCAGAUGUGCCCAGAUGGGAUUCGCUAGUUGGUGGGGUAAAGGUUCACAAAGGCGACGAUCCCUAGCUGGUCUGAGGGGAUGACCAGCCACACUGGAACUGGGACACGGUCCAGACUCCUACGGUAGGCAGCAGUGGGGAAGAUUGCACAAUGGGCGCAAGCCUGAUGCAGCCAUGCCGCGUGUAGGAAGAAGGCCUUCGGGUUGUAAAGUACUUUCAGCGGGGAGGCGUUACCCGCAGAAGAAGCACCGGCUAACUCCGUGCCAGCAGCCGCGGUAAUUC
rnacentral:rRNA from 1 species